UUUAUAGAAAAUUCAGAUUAGAUAUUGUUUUGUAACUCCAGCUGUCUACUAUCUGGAAAGUGCACAGAGCACAGAGCCUGCCAGAAAAAUCACUCUCCGUGCUUGUCAACACAGUAUGAUGCCAAAGUGUGGGGAGAAGAGAGAGAGAGAGGUGAAUAAGAAAAGACGAGGUGACAGAGGCGGCGAUAAAGAGAGAAAGGAGGAUGAUACAGUGAGAAAAGGGAAGAAGGGAAAGAAAUGUAAGGAAAAGUGAAUAAUUGCAGUGUGUGGGUUUCUCUCUCUUACAACUUUAGAGAGAGGGGGGGUAGGCUGGGUUUCUUUAUGAGAUUUGCAAUUGUGAAAGACAGAGAAAGGCUGCGUAUUAUUGUGUAUGAUAUGGUUUGAGAGAGAGAGAGAGAAAUGGAUGAAUGAUGAGAGAUAAUGAACAGAGACAGAGAUUGAAAGGAGAGCACGCAGAGCGCCUCGCAGUGGACAAAGUCGUUAUCAAGGCUAAAAAGAUCCGGUAACGAUGGCCCCGGCUCUGUGUUUUUUUUUUUUUUUUUU
rnacentral:misc_RNA from 1 species